CUCAAUGUGGCUCAGCGGUGAGAGCAUUUGAAUUCUGAUCAGCUGGUCACGGGUUCGAGCAUUGAGU
rnacentral:tRNA from 1 species